rnacentral:rRNA from 1 species
GACGAACGCUGGCGGCGCGCUUAACACAUGCAAGUCGAACGGAAAGGCCUGCUUUCCCUUGUGGAUUGCGGGUACUCGAGUGGCGAACGGGUGAGUAACACGUGAGUGAUCUGCCCCCAACUUGGGUAUAAGCCUGGGAAACUGGGUCUAAUUCCCGAUAGGACUGCAGGGUGGUGCCUGUGGUGGAAAAUGAUUUUCUAGUGGUUGGGGAUGAGCUCGCGGCCUAUCAGCUUGUUGGUGGGGUAAUGGCCUACCAAGGCGGCGACGGGUAGCCGGCCUGGGAGGGUGGACGGCCACAUUGGGACUGAGAUACGGCCCAGACUCCUACGGGAGGCAGCAGUGGGGAAUAUUGCACAAUGGGCGGAAGCCUGAUGCAGCGACGCCGCGUGGGGGAUGACGGCCUUCGGGUUGUAAACUCCUUUCGACCGCGAGGAAGCCACCUGGUUGGAAGGGUGGUGACGGUAGUGGUAGAAGAAGCACCGGCUAACUACGUG